rnacentral:tmRNA from 1 species
GGGGGUGCACCGGAUUCGACUGAAGGAUUGUGAGAUUUUGCGUUGCAGGCGGAGUGUCAGUCUCCUUAACCUGGCAACCCUUUAUUUGCCAACGAUAAUAAUUUGGCAUUAGCUGCCUAAUUAGUGCAGCUACGGGCGCCUCGGAUGCAGCCAUGAAGCCGGGGACCGCCUGACAGAAAUCAAGGCUCACCGUUUAUCAAGUUCGGGUGAUAGGCGGGACAUCAAAUCCGGAAUAGGGUGAUAGAUGGUCAGGUUUUUCACCGUACUGUCACCUAAAACUGUAAGAAAAACCUAAGCUUGUAGAUACGUACCGUCCGCCCUUUAGGACGCGGGUUCGACUCCCGCCACCUCCAAAA